AAGUCGUAACAAGGUUUCCGUAGGUGAACCUGCGGAAGGAUCAUUAUUGAAUAAACUUGAACAGGCUGUUGCUGGCCUCCCUCUAGGGGGGGUAUGUGCACGCUUGUCAUAUUUAUCUCUCCAACUGUGCACAUUCUGUAGAUCUGGAGCCCUUUGUAUUCUCGAAUAGAUUGAGGAUUGCUGUACUAGCUUUGCCUCGCAUUUCCAGAUCUAUGUUUUUAUCUUCACAAUGUGUCUAGAAUGUUGAAUUGAAAUGAUAAUCAUAUACAACUUUCAGCAACGGAUCUCUUGGCUCUCGCAUCGAUGAAGAACGCAGCGAAAUGCGAUAAGUAAUGUGAAUUGCAGAAUUCAGUGAAUCAUCGAAUCUUUGAACGCAUCUUGCGCUCCUUGGUAUUCCGAGGAGCAUGCCUGUUUGAGUGUCAUUUGAGUUCUCAAGGUCAUACUUUUGGUGUGGCUUUGGAAUAUGGAGGUUUGCAGGCUUCUGAAAAAUGAAGUCGGCUCCCCUGAAAUGCAUUAGUGGUAUCUGAGCAGAGACUACUUACAGGUGUGAUAAUUAUCUAUCUAUGCCUCGGUAUGCUGCAUUGAACAGACUGCACCGCUUAUAACAAGUGAAAUUUGACAAGUUUGACCUCAAAUCAGGUAGGACUACCCGCUGAACUUAAGCAUAUCAAUAAGCGGAGGAAAAGAAACUAACAAGGAUUCCCCUAGUAACUGCGAGUGAAGCGGGAAGAGCUCAAAUUNGAAAUCUGGCGGUUCUUGACCGUCCGAGUUGUAAUCUAGAGAAGUGUUACCUGUGCUGGACCGUGUAAAAGUCUCCUGGAAUGGAGCAUCAUAGAGGGUGAGAAUCCCGUCUUUGACACGGACGACCCGUGCGUCGUGGUGCGCUCUCAAAGAGUCGAGUUGUUUGGGAAUGCAGCUCAAAAUGGGUGGUAAAUGCCAUCUAAAGCUAAAUAUUGGCGAGAGACCGAUAGCGAACAAGUACCGUGAGGGAAAGAUGAAAAGCACUUUGGAAAGAGAGUUAAACAGUACGUGAAAUUGCUGAAAGGGAAACGCUUGAAGUCAGUCACGUUGGCUAGAAAUCAGCCUUGCUUCUGCACGGUGUACUUUCUGGUCGACGGGUCAGCAUCAAUUUUGACCGCUGGACAAAGUCUUUGGGAAUGUGGCAUCCUCGGAUGUGUUAUAGCCCAUCGUCGCAUGCAGCGGUCGGGAUUGAGGAACUCAGCACGCCGCAAGGCCGGGUUUCGACCACGUUCGUGCUUAGGAUGCUGGCAUAAUGGCUUUAAUCGACC
rnacentral:rRNA from 1 species